ACGCUAGCCGUAGGCUUAACACAUGCAAGUUGUACGCUCCCUUUGAGGAGAGUAGCGAACGGGUGAGUAACGCGUGAGAAUCUGCCUCUUAAACUGUGGAAUAACUUUACUGUUAGAAUCAUGGAUACUAUACUUUUUUUAAUUCAAUUGUAAAAUAAAUAAAAUUUAUUACAAAAUUGAAUUAAAAAAGUUAUAUAAAGAAUAUUAUUCGUUAAGAGAUGAGCUUGCGUAAGAUUAGGUAGUUGGUAAGGUAAAGGCUUACCAAGCCAAAGAUCUUUAGCUGGUUUGAGAGAAUGAUCAGCCACAUUGGGACUGAGACACGGCCCAAAUACUUUAGAGUAACAGCAGUGGGGAAUAUUGGACAAUGGGCGCAAGCCUGAUCCAGCUAUACGGCAUGAGUGUAGAAGACUGUAUUGGUUGUAAAACUCUUCGGUGAUAUUUUUAUAAUAUCCGUAUUAUAUUUUUUUAAAGUAUAAUAUAUAUAUUAUAAAAUAAGAGAUUAUGACAACGUAUCAUCAAUUAGUCCCGGCUAAUUUCGUGCCAGCAGCCGCGGUAAUACGAAAGGGGCGAGCGUUAUUCGGAAUGAUUGGGCGUAAAGCGUGCGUAGAUUGUUUUUACUUAUUUCUAUACACAGAUAUAAAUAUCAUUUAUAUUGAUAGAAAAUUUAUAUAAAUAAAAACUUGAGUAUUUAUUAGGAGAGUAGAAUUCCUGGAGUAGAGGUAAAAUUUGUUGAUCUCAGGAGGAAUACCUAAAGCGAAAGCAGCUCUCUGGUAAAGCACUAACAUUGAGGCACGAAAGCGUGGGUAGCGAAGAGGAUUAGAUACCCUUGUAGUCCACGCCGUCAACUAUGAUCUUUUUUUAUUUUCCUUGAAAGGGGGGAAGUGGAGUAGCUAACGCGUUAAAAGAUCCGCCUGAGGAGUACGGUCGCAAGAUUAAAACUCAAAGGAAUAGACGGGGACCCGCACAAGUGGUGGAACAUCGCGGUUUAAUGCGAAACAACGCGCAAAACCUUACCAGCCCUUGAUAUAACACUUAUAUAAUAAAAUAUUAUAGUUUUAGAGUUUGUGUUACAGGUGUUGCAUGGCUGUCGUCGGUUCGUGCCGUAAGGCGUUGGAUUAAUUUCUUUAACGAACGAAACCCCUGUUAUCAAUUGCUAAGAAUUUACAAAUUAUUUUGUAUUUCAGAACUUUGAUACUACUGCCAGUCAUAAACUGGAGGAAGGAAGGGAUUACGUCAAGUCCUCAUGACCCUUAUGGGCUGGGCUACACGUGUGUUACAAUGGCGAAUACAAAAAGAUGCAAUGAUGAGAGUCGGAGCAAAUCUAUAAAAUUCGUCUUAGUACAGAUUGUUUUCUGCAAUUCGAAAACAUCAAGAAGGAAUCACUAGUAAUCGUGGAUCAGCACGCCACGGUGAAUCAGUACUCGGGUCUUGUACUCCCCGCCCGUCACACUCUGGAAAUCGAGUGGAUUGUAAGUCUAUGUCUCCCUAUUUUUUUAUGGGAUGGGUCUGAUGGCCUAUACAUAUAUAGAAAUUUAGAAGAUAUACCCAGAAUUUAUUUGGUAACUGGAGUGAAGUCGUAACAA
rnacentral:rRNA from 1 species